rnacentral:tRNA from 1 species
GGGCGCAUAGCUUAGGGGCAAAGCAGCUGGCUCUUAACCAGUAGACAGGGGUUCGAUUCCCUUUGCGCUCACUA